GACGAACGCUGGCGGCGUGCCUAACACAUGCAAGUCGAGCGGGGAUCUAAGUGGCCGUUCUUCGGAAUGGAGAUUUAAAUUCUAGCGGCGGACGGGUGAGUACCGCGUGAACAUUCUGUCCCGGACAGGGGGAUAACACUUGGACACAGGUGCUAAUACCGCAUAAGACCACGGCCUCGCAUGCGGCUGAGGUAACAGGAGCAAUCCGGUCCGCGGUGAGUUCGCGUCCGAUUAGCUAGUUGGGGAGGUAACGGCCCACCAAGGCGACUCUCGGUAGCCGGCAUGAGGGGGUAAACGGCCACAUUGGAAGUGAGAGACGGUCCAAACCCCUACGGGAGGCAGCGGGGGGGACUAGUGGGCAACGGGCGAACGCGUGACCCAGCGACGCCGCGUGGGGGAAGAAGGUUUUCGGAGUGGAAAACUCUGUCCCAUGGGACGAAGGAAGUGACGGUACCAAAGGAGGAAGCCCCGGCUAACUACGUG
rnacentral:rRNA from 1 species